rnacentral:rRNA from 1 species
AGUGAACGCUGGCAGUAGGCCUAACACAUGCAAGUCGAACGGCAGCACAGUAAGAGCUUGCUCUUACGGGUGGCGAGUGGCGGACGGGUGAGGAAUACAUCGGAAUCUACUUUUUCGUGGGGGAUAACGUAGGGAAACUUACGCUAAUACCGCAUACGACCUACGGGUGAAAGCAGGGGAUCUUCGGACCUUGCGCGAUUGAAUGAGCCGAUGUCGGAUUAGCUAGUUGGCGGGGUAAAGGCCCACCAAGGCAACGAUCCGUAGCUGGUCUGAGAGGAUGAUCAGCCACACUGGAACUGAGACACGGUCCAGACUCCUACGGGAGGCAGCAGUGGGGAAUAUUGGACAAUGGGCGCAAGCCUGAUCCAGCCAUACCGCGUGGGUGAAGAAGGCCUUCGGGUUGUAAAGCCCUUUUGUUGGGAAAGAAAAGCAGCAGGUUAAUACCCCGCUGUUCUGACGGUACCCAAAGAAUAAGCACCGGCUAACUUCGUG